rnacentral:rRNA from 1 species
GCUUGUUGGGGUUGUAGGACACUCUAUACGGAGUUACAAAAGAACAUGUUAGACGAAUCAUCUGGAAAGAUGAAUCAAAGAAGGUAAUAAUCCUGUAGUCGAAAACAUAUUCUCUCUUGAGUGGAUCCUGAGUACGACGGAGCACGUGAAAUUCCGUCGGAAUCUGGGAGGACCAUCUCCUAAGGCUAAAUACUCUCUAGUGACCGAUAGUGAACCAGUACCGUGAGGGAAAGGUGAAAAGUACCCCGGAAGGGGAGUGAAAGAGAACUUGAAACCGUGUGCUUACAAGUAGUCAGAGCCCGUUAAUGGGUGAUGGCGUGCCUUUUGUAGAAUGAACCGGCGAGUUACGAUCUGAUGCAAGGUUAAGCAGCAAAUGUGGAGCCGCAGCGAAAGCGAGUCUGAAUAGGGCGUUGAGUAUUUGGUCGUAGACCCGAAACCAGGUGAUCUACCCUUGGUCAGGUUGAAGUUCAGGUAACACUGAAUGGAGGACCGAACCGACUUACGUUGAAAAGUGAGCGGAUGAACUGAGGGUAGCGGAGAAAUUCCAAUCGAACUUGGAGAUAGCUGGUUCUCUCCGAAAUAGCUUUAGGGCUAGCCUCAAGUGAUGAUUAUUGGAGGUAGAGCACUGUUUGGACGAGGGGCCCCUCUCGGGUUACCGAAUUCAGACAAACUCCGAAUGCCAAUUAAUUUAACUUGGGAGUCAGAACAUGGGUGAUAAGGUCCGUGUUCGAAAGGGAAACAGCCCAGACCACCAGCUAAGGUCCCAAAAUAUAUGUUAAGUGGAAAAGGAUGUGGCGUUGCCCAGACAACUAGGAUGUUGGCUUAGAAGCAGCCAUCAUUUAAAGAGUGCGUAAUAGCUCACUAGUCGAGUGACACUGCGCCGAAAAUGUACCGGGGCUAAACAUAUUACCGAAGCUGUGGAUUGUCCUUUGGACAAUGGUAGGAGAGCGUUCUAAGGGCGUCGAAGCAUGAUCGCAAGGACAUGUGGAGCGCUUAGAAGUGAGAAUGCCGGUGUGAGUAGCGAAAGACGGGUGAGAAUCCCGUCCACCGAUUGACUAAGGUUUCCAGAGGAAGGCUCGUCCGCUCUGGGUUAGUCGGGUCCUAAGCUGAGGCCGACAGGCGUAGGCGAUGGAUAACAGGUUGAUAUUCCUGUACCACCUAGUAUCGUUUUAAUCGAUGGGGGGACGCAGUAGGAUAGGCGAAGCGUGCUGUUGGAGUGCACGUCCAAGCAGUAAGGCUGAGUGUUAGGCAAAUCCGGCACUCAUAAGGCUGAGCUGUGAUGGGGAGAGGAAAUUGUUUCCUCGAGUCGUUGAUUUCACACUGCCGAGAAAAGCCUCUAGAUAGAUAACAGGUGCCCGUACCGCAAACCGACACAGGUAGUCAAGAUGAGAAUUCUAAGGUGAGCGAGCGAACUCUCGUUAAGGAACUCGGCAAAAUGACCCCGUAACUUCGGGAGAAGGGGUGCUCUUUAGGGUUCACGCCCAGAAGAGCCGCAGUGAAUAGGCCCAAGCGACUGUUUAUCAAAAACACAGGUCUCUGCUAAACCGUAAGGUGAUGUAUAGGGGCUGACGCCUGCCCGGUGCUGGAAGGUUAAGAGGAGUGGUUAGCUUCUGCGAAGCUACGAAUCGAAGCCCCAGUAAACGGCGGCCGUAACUAUAACGGUCCUAAGGUAGCGAAAUUCCUUGUCGGGUAAGUUCCGACCCGCACGAAAGGCGUAACGAUUUGG